rnacentral:rRNA from 1 species
UACAGAGGGUGCGAGCGUUGUUCGGAAUUAUUGGGCGUAAAGGGCGCGUAGGCGGUGCGGUAAGUCACCUGUGAAAUCUCCUGGCUCAACUGGGAGCUUGCAGGCGAAACUGCCGUGCUGGAGUGUGGGAGAGGUGCGUGGAAUUCCUGGUGUAGCGGUGAAAUGCGUAGAUAUCAGGAGGAACACCUGUGGCGAAAGCGGCGCACUGGACCACAACUGACGCUGAGGCGCGAAAGCUAGGGGAGCAAACAAG